AUUACCGAUGAUAUUAGUCCAACAACUACACAGUUGGACCUUGUGAACCGUACCAAACUAUUCAGGGGUCGGCUUGUCCGUUAAAUGGUCGUCGGACGCGAGAGAUCGCGGCCGCUCGACCGGCCCCGCACGCGUUUUGUUUUUUAUAAACAUAUGUGUACCUGUCUGACCAAGCGUUGCGGCCGGCCCRAGGGUCGGUCGCGGCAAUUAGAGCAAAAAACGAGAUACAACUUUUGACGGUGGAUCUCUUGGCUCACGCAUCGAUGAAGAACGCAGCCAGCUGCGAUAAGUAGUGUGAAUUGCAGAAUUCAGUGAAUCAUCGAAUCUUUGAACGCAAAUGGCGCUCUUGGGUUCUCCCAGGAGCAUGUCUGUCUGAGUGUCGGAUAUCAUCCAACGCACGCCAGCGUGCGGAAUUGAGGCGUCACGGUCCGUACUGCACGGACCGUGUCCCUUGAAAGUCAGAGAGACUCGCCGCGUCGCGGGAAGAUUCCCCGUGCACACCAGCGGAGGCUAAAAUGUCUUUUGCCCUUCGCGUGCCGGGAAGUCGCCGCGUGCGGCGGUCGUCGUCGGGCGAUCCCUAAUUAUCCUGCCCUCGACCCCU
rnacentral:rRNA from 1 species